GAUGAACGCUGGCGGCGUGCCUAAUACAUGCAAGUCGAGCGAACGGACGAGAAGCUUGCUUCUCUGAUGUUAGCGGCGGACGGGUGAGUAACACGUGGAUAACCUACCUAUAAGACUGGGAUAACUUCGGGAAACCGUAGCUAAUACCGGAUAAUAUUUUGAACCGCAUGGUUCAAAAGUGAAAGACGGUCUUGCUGUCACUUAUAGAUGGAUCCGCGCUUCAUUAGCUAGUUGGUAAGGUAACGGCUUACCAAGGCAACGAUGCAUAGCCGACCUGAGCGGGUGGUCGGCCACCGGUGAACUUAGACACGGUCCAGACUCCUAAGGAAGGCAGCAGUAGGGAAUCGUCCGCAAUGGGCGAAAGCCUGACGGAGCAUCGCCGCGUGAGUGAUGAAGGUCUUCGGAUCGUAAAACGCUGUUAUUAGGGAAGAACAUAUGUGUAAGUAACUGUGCACAUCGUGACGGUACCUAAUCAGAAAGCCACGGCUAACUACGUG
rnacentral:rRNA from 1 species